rfam:Aspergillus parasiticus ST-1 562, whole genome shotgun sequence.
ACAUACGACCAUAGGGUGUGGAGAACAGGGCUUCCCGUCCGCUCAGCCGUACUUAAGCCACACGCCGGGAGGUUAGUAGUUGGGUGGGUGACCACCAGCGAAUCCCUCCUGUUGUAUGUA